CUUAUAGAACUCUUUAGAUCUUUGCAUAAUGACACCACACACCUCAAUAACAAAGGGACACCUGAUAAGAGACCGGUUCCACCUGCACUCCUUCAGCAGGUUCUAAUCACCGGCACCUGAUCUUUAACAGCUGAUUCUAAUUUUAUGGAUUUGAAGGUGUGAUAAAUGUAGGGGUGCUCGUUUACCUUCUGAAAAUGACUACAAAAUGUCCAUUUUAUGUGCCAUUUGACAGUGUAUUACCUUUUAUUAAUAGGCACUGUUUCAAAGAGGAUCAAAUGAUUGCUUGUCCAAAUUCCAUGGGGUGUACUUAUUUUUUCACAAGCGUAUUUAACCCUUUCUAACCAUGAUGUACUUUGACCCCGUUCUUCCCCUCGUUAGUUUUACCACAACCUCAAAUGUUCAACUUCAGCGCAACGUCUGGAUCGCGCAUCGUGCCGUAGCUAAUCCCAACCGAGCCGAUAUUCAGCAUCACCUGCACAGCUGUGAGUCUGAGAUUGCUUUUAUACAAGUUUUAAGAAAUUAAUAUCAAUUUUUUUCCACAUAUGGCUAAAUAUUUUGUUUAUUUUUGAACGAGGCAUUACAGGGCAUUAAAGCCAAAAGGUCAAUGGAGAAAGAGUAAAAUGAAGGAGAUGCUGGUCAUUCACGUUGAGUUUUAGAAUCCAGCCUCAGGGUUUUCAAUACAUUACGGCCUUUAAUUCUGCACAUCAGCUCGCCUGCAGCGUGAGGAUACUGCUAGAAUACUGUUCAAAGAGGAUUUAACACGAUUCAGCUGGCAAACAAUUCAGUUUUUGUCCUUGAGUGUAAGCCUCGCCACUGACGGCGUCAGGAUUUUAAAAUCUGCGCCUGUGUGUAAAUACGGUCAAUGCCAAACCGGAAACACACACAAAACCUAUACGUUUUCCUUUGCUUGCUUUUUUUACCCAACAUUAAUAGCCUGAAGUAAUCGUGAGUGUAUGAGUAUAAAAUAUCACUAGAAUGAAAGAAAGUGCAAUAUGCAGUGUGUGUGUGUGUGUGUGUGUGUGUGGGGGGGGGGUGUUCAUGAGGUUGCAAUUACUAAAAUAAGGAAGAGGUUAUGAUUCCCGAGGUUGGGAUUACCGCGGAUAAGGUUCCCGAGGUUGGGAUUACCGCCGUUAUGGUUCCCGAGGUUGGGAUUACCGCGGUUGGGAUUACCGCGGUUACGGUUCCCGAGGUUGGGAUUACCGCGGUUCCCGAGGUUGGGAUUAC
ensembl:lncRNA